rnacentral:rRNA from 1 species
UUUCGGCUCGUAAAACUCUGUUAUUAGGGAAGAACAAACGUGUAAGUAACUGUGCACGUCUUGACGGUACCUAAUCAGAAAGCCACGGCUAACUACGUGCCAGCAGCCGCGGUAAUACGUAGGUGGCAAGCGUUAUCCGGAAUUAUUGGGCGUAAAGCGCGCGUAGGCGGUUUCUUAAGUCUGAUGUGAAAGCCCACGGCUCAACCGUGGAGGGUCAUUGGAAACUGGGAAACUUGAGUGCAGAAGAGGAAAGUGGAAUUCCAUGUGUAGCGGUGAAAUGCGCAGAGAUAUGGAGGAACACCAGUGGCGAAGGCGACUUUCUGGUCUGUAACUGACGCUGAUGUGCGAAAGCGUGGGGAUCAAACAGGAUUAGAUACCCUGGUAGUCCACGCCGUAAACGAUGAGUGCUAAGUGUUUAGGGGGGUUUCCGCCCCUUAGUGCUGCAGCUAACGCAUUAAGCACUCCGCCCGGGGGAGUACGACCGCAAGGUUGAAACUCAAAGGAAUUGACGGGGACCCGCACAAGCGGUGGAGCAUGUGGGUUUAAUUCGAAGCAACGCGAAGAACCUUACCAAAUCUUGACAUCCUUUGAAAACUCUAGAGAUAGAGCCUUCCCCUUCGGGGGACAAAGUGACAGGUGGGUGCAUGGUUGUCGUCAGCUCGUGUCGUGAGAUGUUUGGGUUAAGUCCCGCAACGAGCGCAACCCUUAAGCUUAGUUGCCAUCAUUAAGUUGGGCACUCUAGGUUGACUGCCGGUGACAA